GGAAUGUAGCUCAGUGGUAGAGUGCUUGCCUAGCCUGUGCAAGGCCCUGGGUUCAAUUCCCACCACCA
rnacentral:tRNA from 1 species